rnacentral:pre_miRNA from 1 species
UCACCUCCGCAGGCUGCCGGCCCCCAGGCUGGGCUGGGAGGGUAUUUCUUUGAAAGGCUCACCCUCAAGCAGGACUAGGAGC